CCCUUAGAUGUUCUGGGCCGCACACGCGCUACACUGAAGGAGGCAGCGUGUACUCCUGGAUCGAAAGAUUUGGGUAACCCGCGAAUCUCCUUCGUGCUAGGGAUUGAGGUUUGCAAUUAUCCUUCAUGAACGAGGAAUUCCCAGUAAGUGCAAGGCAUAAGCUUGCGCUGACUACGUCCCUGCCCUUUGUACACACCGCCCGUCGCUACUACCGAUUGAAUGAUUUAGUGAGGACUUCGGACUGGGACCGAUGCGGCUUUCGGGCUGCGUCGGUAUUCUGGAAAGAUGUCCAAACUGUAUCAUUUAGAGGAAGUAAAAGUCGUAACA
rnacentral:rRNA from 1 species